AGGAAAAAAUUGAAGUUUGUUUUUUCGUUAAUAGUAAAAAAAAAAAUUUCAAAUACCAUCUCUUUAGUUUCAUACUUUUUUAUUUUAGUAUCAUGUAAUUUAAAGUGUAUUAAUUUAGUACCUGCGAUUUUAUUUUUCUGUUUUUAUUAUCCCACUCUACUAUUUUUUUUGUUAAAUCAGUAACAAAAUUAAAACUAAAAGUAUUAAAGUGAAUAUUCAAUAAAUUUAGGUAGAGUGUCCGAAAUUUUUUGUAUAUAAUUUAACGAAAUGUUAAAAGAGGAGCUAACGAAAAGAGAAAAAUAAAACCACGUGUACUAAAUUGAAACAAUUCAAAUUACAAGAUACUAAAGUGCG
rnacentral:lncRNA from 1 species